GUCUACAGCCAUGCCACCCUGAACAAGCCUGAUCCCAUCUGAUCUCGGAAGCUAAGCAGGGUCGGGCCUGGUUAGUACUUGGAUGGGAGACCACCUAGGAAGACCAGGUGCUGUAGGUA
rnacentral:rRNA from 1 species